rnacentral:rRNA from 1 species
UACGUAGGCAGCGAGCGUUGUUCGGAAUCACUGGGCGUAAAGGGCGCGUAGGCGGCCACCUAAGUCAGACGUGAAAUCCCUCGGCUCAACCGGGGAACUGCGUCUGAUACUGGGCGGCUUGAAUUCGGGAGAGGGAUGCGGAAUUCCAGGUGUAGCGGUGAAAUGCGUAGAUAUCUGGAGGAACACCGGUGGCGAAGGCGGCAUCCUGGACCGAGAUUGACGCUGAGGCGCGAAAGCCAGGGGAGCAAACGGG